UACAGAGGUCCCAAGCGUUGUUCGGAUUCACUGGGCGUAAAGGGUGCGUAGGCGGGGCUUUAAGUCAGGGGUGAAAUCCUGGAGCUCAACUCCAGAACUGCCUUUGAUACUGAAGAUCUUGAGUUCGGGAGAGGUGAGUGGAACUGCGAGUGUAGAGGUGAAAUUCGUAGAUAUUCGCAAGAACACCAGUGGCGAAGGCGGCUCACUGGCCCGAUACUGACGCUGAGGCACGAAAGCGUGGGGAGCAAACAGG
rnacentral:rRNA from 1 species